rnacentral:piRNA from 1 species
UGUGAGGAACACAGGGAGACUAGAGAGU